UUGAUGGGGACCGGGUACAGUCGCUCCGGCCACGCGUUAGCCGUCGGCGCCAACCCGCCGAGGUCCUGGAGGUAGAGGUCGAAGAAGAGCGUCUCGCCUGCGGUGGAGAUGCCCAUGCCCCGCG
rnacentral:SRP_RNA from 13 species